GAACCUUCUCUGUCUUCUCCACUUGGUCAAUUGAAUUGGUCUUCUCUCCUUCGGAGUUCUUUGUCGGUUACUCAUUAAAUUAGGUCAUACAGAUAACCCCUUUCUUCCUUCCUCCCACUUCCUUUUCUCUUCCACUUUUCGAAUAGACUUAGAUCUUACACGUCUCAAGCUUUAGAUGGCACUCGCUGCUAUACAGCAGCAUGGCCAUCACGAUGGAUUCUCAGGUUACAGGAGUAGAAAAGGGUGGAUAGAGAACAAAGUGUAUAUGGGGCAGCGUUGGAUAGGCUCGAAAAUCGUUGAUUCCAAGAGGAAUGGCGGUUCGACGAGGACUCGAUGACCGUUGAUUUCGAAGAAUAGCCGUUCAAACGAGGGUUCUUGGUAAUCGGAGAAUACCGAAGACAAGAAAGAAGAACUGAAAGUUCUAGGGUUUUUCUUAUUCAAUAUAUCAAUAAUGUUUACAAAGCUAUAGAUCAAACUAUAUAUACUAGGCUAACGAGAUCGUAA